UCUAGAACUCGAGAUAUGGGCUGAACACUAAACAGUGUCUGGGUUGCAGGAUAGAUUCCGACUUCUCCGUUGUUGCUACAAUUGGAACUUGAAAACGAUCCUUUUGAAUCUUGGACUCUUCAUGAAAGUUUUAGGCCUAUUUCUUAGCUUUCCAUA
rnacentral:pre_miRNA from 1 species